rnacentral:lncRNA from 1 species
CCUUCUCUGCCCAUGUGCCCCCAUCCAAGACAGCUCCCGUGCCCUUCUGUCUUUGUCUUAAACCCAACCCAGCCAUCCUCAGAAGCUUCCUCCGAGCUGCCCCUUAUGUUGCCUUUCUCAAUCGUUUUGACAAGAAACACCAGCAGGAACAGUCAAGACUUGGAAGAAAUCUGAUUGGGUCAGAAAGAAGGGGGACCUUGGAUAAUGACAGUAAUUGUCACAACUUCCAAUCUUCCUCAAGCUUUAGAGUUCAGGACUCUGGAUCCCCUCACCAAGGCCACGGCACCAGAGAGGAUGAGAAGGGCUGAUGUUGCAUCUCAGCUGCCCUCUUAGCUGACUAGCCGCACGGAAAAAAAGCUCCUGGAUUUUGACUGGCUCUUCCACCUGCUCACCUGCUCCAGCCCUGAGGCAAGAAUGGCUGUGCUACCCAUGUCACCACACCUGAAGCACCCAGCUGCCCUUCCAGGACCAGCCUCAAAUCCAGGUGGGUCAUUCCUGUUUCUCCCUCUUAUUACAAGGGAUCAGGCCCCUGCUUGGUCCAGUCAGACCUCUCCCCUCCUCCUAGCUCCAAACUUACCAUUCAUUCCUGAGCUAUCUCAAGCCACCAUACCAUUUGUGCUUUGUAAAUACUUGGUGGCAAAUUGUGACUGUUGUGAAGUUUGAAAAGAAAAGGGGAAGCAGUUGCAUUAAGGUGGAGCCAUCUGCCAGGAGGGGCUCUAUAACCUUAACAUGGACACUGGGCUUCUUGCCACUUUGUAUGGUUGUGUAGAACGACAAGUUGCCUUUAAUGUGUAGAGAAAAUAUCUAGAAAUACAUUAUUUUCCAAAAUCCAAAUCAACUCUGAGUCUUCCACAAUGCUUCUAACUUCUGCAUUAAUUCAAAUAAUCCAGAUAUGUGGAGCAUGUAACAUAAAGCCAUAGUCUCUUUCUGGGAUCACUUCUGCAAUUUUCUCAUCAAAAGCAUUCUCUAUGGGUACCAAACUCAUAUUGACAGCUGGUGGAUGGCUUGAAUUCCUUCUGUCAUUAUUCCACACUAACACACUGACCAAUAUGGAUCAGCUUGGAAAAGCAAUCUAGGGGGACCCUCUAAUGUAAAAACUCCAAGUAAAAGUGUUAGAAUAUAAUCUAUGGUGGCAGCUCAGCUAUUGAUGUUGUUCAGGCUUAGAGGGCUGAAUCUGAAUCUGAGGCUGCAUCUCAGAUGACAUCACCAGGGUAUCAAGGGCAGCAGUUAGUCCUACCAUGUGCCAAUGCUGAUCUAUCUAUAAUGGCUUCCUAGACCACUAUGCUAACGUGGGAGGCCCAGUCUGGGCUGAGUGAGAAGGAAUGCAAUGAUCGAUUAGUCAUGUCUGCCAUGGGCAGGACAGCAUAGUGGUUAAUAGCCUGGGUGCUGUAGUCAGAUAGAAGUUCAGGUUCUGUCUCUGCCACUUAUUAACAGGGUGGCUUUGGGCAAGUUACCUAAUCACUUUUCAGGCUUGUUUUUCAUCAAUAAAAUGCAGAUAGGUUAUAGUACAGGAUUCUUAUGAGGACUGGUUGAGAUAAUUCAUGCCAAGUGCUUAGCAAUGUAUUUAGCACAGGGUACUCAAUAAAUAUUAGCUCCUCCCAGAGAGGGGACAAGGCAGCUUGUGCUCAGCAUAUCUGCCAUUCCAGGUUCAGGCUUAUAUGAGUGCUUAUAAGAAUUUAGCUAAGACAGCUUUUAAAGGCAUUUGUAGAGGCUAUUGAAACUUCUUUGUUCCUAGGAUAUUAGCAAAAGGUUUUCAGUUGAUGGUGGUAUUAAAAUUGUAUUCUAGGAGUUCCCAUCGUGGUGCAGUGGUUAAUGAAUCCGACUAGGAACCCUGAGGUUGUGGGUUCCAUCCCUGGCCUCACUCAGUGGGUUAAGGAUCCGGCAUUGCCGUGAGCUGUGGUGUAGGUUGCAGACGCGGCUCAGAUCCUGUGUUGUUGUGGCUGUGACGUAGGCUGGUGGCUACAACUCCGAUUCAACCCCUAGCCUGGGAACCUCCAUAUGCUGUGGGAGCGGCCCUAGAAAAG